rnacentral:rRNA from 1 species
GUUGCCAUCAGGUCAUGCUGGGGACUCUAACAAAACUGCCCGCGUAAGCGUGGAGGAAGGUGGGGGAUGACGUCAAAUCAGCACGGCCCUUACGUCCAGGGCUACACACGUGCUACAAUGGCCGGUACAGAGGGCAGCCACUUGGUGACAAGGAGCAAAAUCCUCAAAAAGCCGGUCUCAGUUCGGAUCGGAGUCUGCAACUCGACUCCGUGAAGUUGGAUUCGCUAGUAAUCGUAGAUCAGCAAUGCUACGGUGAAAUACGUUCCCGGGCCUU